GGGUUGUGAGGUUAAGCGACUAAGCGUACACGGUGGAUGCCCUGGCAGUCAGAGGCGAUGAAGGACGUGCUAAUCUGCGAAAAGCGUCGGUAAGGUGAUAUGAACCGUUAUAACCGGCGAUGUCCGAAUGGGGAAACCCAGUGUGAUUCGUCACACUAUCGUUAACUGAAUACAUAGGUUAACGAGGCGAACCGGGGGAACUGAAACAUCUAAGUACCCCGAGGAAAAGAAAUCAACCGAGAUUCCCCCAGUAGCGGCGAGCGAACGGGGAGCAGCCCAGAGUCUGAAUCAGCUUGUGUGUUAGUGGAACGGUCUGGAAAGUCCGACGGUACAGGGUGAUAGUCCCGUACACCAAAAUGCACAGGCUGUGAACUCGAAGAGUAGGGCGGGACACGUGGUAUCCUGUCUGAAUAUGGGGGGACCAUCCUCCAAGGCUAAAUACUCCUGACUGACCGAUAGUGAACCAGUACCGUGAGGGAAAGGCGAAAAGAACCCCGGCGAGGGGAGUGAAAAAGAACCUGAAACCGUGUACGUACAAGCAGUGGGAGCACCUUCGGGUGUGACUGCGUACCUUUUGUAUAAUGGGUCAGCGACUUAUAUUCUGUAGCAAGGUUAACCGUAUAGGGGAGCCGCAGGGAAACCGAGUCUUAACUGGGCGUUAAGUUGCAGGGUAUAGACCCGAAACCCGGUGAUCUAGCCAUGGGCAGGUUGAAGGUUGGGUAACACUAACUGGAGGACCGAACCGACUAAUGUUGAAAAAUUAGCGGAUGACUUGUGGCUGGGGGUGAAAGGCCAAUCAAACCGGGAGAUAGCUGGUUCUCCCGAAAGCUAUUUAGGUAGCGCCUCGUGAACUCAUCUUCGGGGGUAGAGCACUGUUUCGGCUAGGGGGUCAUCCCGACUUACCAACCCGAUGCAAACUACGAAUACCGAAGAAUGUUAUCACGGGAGACACACGGCGGGUGCUAACGUCCGUCGUGAAGAGGGAAACAACCCAGACCGCCAGCUAAGGUCCCAAAGUCAUGGUUAAGUGGGAAACGAUGUGGGAAGGCACAGACAGCCAGGAUGUUGGCUUAGAAGCAGCCAUCAUUUAAAGAAAGCGUAAUAGCUCACUGGUCGAGUCGGCCUGCGCGGAAGAUGUAACGGGGCUAAACCAUGCACCGAAGCUGCGGCAGCGACACUAUGUGUUGUUGGGUAGGGGAGCGUUCUGUAAGCCUGCGAAGGUGACCUGUGAGGGUUGCUGGAGGUAUCAGAAGUGCGAAUGCUGACAUAAGUAACGAUAAAGCGGGUGAAAAGCCCGCUCGCCGGAAGACCAAGGGUUCCUGUCCAACGUUAAUCGGGGCAGGGUGAGUCGACCCCUAAGGCGAGGCCGAAAGGCGUAGUCGAUGGGAAACAGGUUAAUAUUCCUGUACUUGGUGUUACUGCGAAGGGGGGACGGAGAAGGCUAUGUUAGCCGGGCGACGGUUGUCCCGGUUUAAGCAUGUAGGCUGGUUAUCCAGGCAAAUCCGGAUAAUCAAGGCUGAGGUGUGAUGACGAGGCACUACGGUGCUGAAGUAACAAAUGCCCUGCUUCCAGGAAAAGCCUCUAAGCAUCAGGUAACAUCAAAUCGUACCCCAAACCGACACAGGUGGUCAGGUAGAGAAUACCAAGGCGCUUGAGAGAACUCGGGUGAAGGAACUAGGCAAAAUGGUGCCGUAACUUCGGGAGAAGGCACGCUGGUGUGUAGGUGAAGCCCCUGCGGGUGGAGCUGAGACCAGUCGAAGAUACCAGCUGGCUGCAACUGUUUAUUAAAAACACAGCACUGUGCAAACACGAAAGUGGACGUAUACGGUGUGACGCCUGCCCGGUGCCGGAAGGUUAAUUGAUGGGGUUAUCCGUAAGGAGAAGCUCUUGAUCGAAGCCCCGGUAAACGGCGGCCGUAACUAUAACGGUCCUAAGGUAGCGAAAUUCCUUGUCGGGUAAGUUCCGACCUGCACGAAUGGCGUAAUGAUGGCCAGGCUGUCUCCACCCGAGACUCAGUGAAAUUGAACUCGCUGUGAAGAUGCAGUGUACCCGCGGCAAGACGGAAAGACCCCGUGAACCUUUACUAUAGCUUGACACUGAACAUUGAGCCUUGAUGUGUAGGAUAGGUGGGAGGCUUUGAAGCGUGGACGCCAGUCUGCGUGGAGCCAACCUUGAAAUACCACCCUUUAAUGUUUGAUGUUCUAACGUUGGCCCCUUACCGGGGUUGCGGACAGUGUCUGGUGGGUAGUUUGACUGGGGCGGUCUCCUCCCAAAGCGUAACGGAGGAGCACGAAGGUUAGCUAAUCCUGGUCGGACAUCAGGAGGUUAGUGCAAUGGCAUAAGCUAGCUUGACUGCGAGCGUGACGGCGCGAGCAGGUGCGAAAGCAGGUCAUAGUGAUCCGGUGGUUCUGAAUGGAAGGGCCAUCGCUCAACGGAUAAAAGGUACUCCGGGGAUAACAGGCUGAUACCGCCCAAGAGUUCAUAUCGACGGCGGUGUUUGGCACCUCGAUGUCGGCUCAUCACAUCCUGGGGCUGAAGUAGGUCCCAAGGGUAUGGCUGUUCGCCAUUUAAAGUGGUACGCGAGCUGGGUUUAGAACGUCGUGAGACAGUUCGGUCCCUAUCUGCCGUGGGCGCUGGAGAAUUGAGGGGGGCUGCUCCUAGUACGAGAGGACCGGAGUGGACGCAUCACUGGUGUUCGGGUUGUCAUGCCAAUGGCACUGCCCGGUAGCUAAAUGCGGAAGAGAUAAGUGCUGAAAGCAUCUAAGCACGAAACUUGCCCCGAGAUGAGUUCUCCCUGAGACUUUAAGUCUCCUGAAGGAACGUUGAAGACGACGACGUUGAUAGGCCGGGUGUGUAAGCGCAGCGAUGCGUUGAGCUAACCGGUACUAAUGAACCGUGAGGCUUAACCUUACAACGCCGAAG
rnacentral:rRNA from 1 species